rnacentral:rRNA from 1 species
AUUGAACGCUGGCGGCAGGCCUAACACAUGCAAGUCGAGCGAGCUGCGGACGGGUGAGUAAUGUCUGGGAAACUGCCUGAUGGAGGGGGAUAACUAGUGGAAACGGUAUCUAAUACCGCAUACCCUCAGAUGUCCCCAGAUGGGAUUAGCUAGUAGGUGGGGUAAUGGCUCACCUAGGCGACGCUCCCUAGCUGGUCUGAGAGGAUGACCAGCCACACUGGAACGGAGACACGGUCCAGACUCCUACGGGAGGCAGCAGUGGGGAAUAUUGCACAAUGGGCGCAAGCCUGAUGCAGCCAUGCCGCGUGUGUGAAGAAGGCCUUCGGGUUGUAAAGCACUUUCAGUGAGGAGGCGUUACUCGCAGAAGAAGCACCGGCUAACUCCGUGCCAGCCGCCGCGGUAAUAC